rnacentral:rRNA from 1 species
CCCUUAGACGUUCUGGGCCGCACGCGCGCUACACUGAAGGAAUCAGCGUGGCUUUCUCCCUGACCCGAAAGGGUUGGGAAACCCGUUGAAUCUCCUUCGUGAUAGGGAUUGGGGCUUGAAAUUGUUCCCCAUGAACGAGGAAUUCCCAGUAAGCGCGAGUCAUAAGCUCGCGUUGAUUACGUCCCUGCCCUUUGUACACACCGCCCGUCGCUACUACCGAUUGAACGGUUUAGUGAGGGCCUCGGAUUGGUCUCGGCCCGCUCUUUACCGGGCGGCGCCGUUGGUCGAGAAGACGCUCGAACUUGAUCGUUUAGAGGAAGUAAAAGUCGUAACA